rnacentral:misc_RNA from 1 species
AAGUCGUAACAAGGUUUCCGUAGGUGAACCUGCGGAAGGAUCAUUAAUGAAAUCCAAAGCUGGGGUCGGGUUGUUGCUGGCUUCGGCACGUGCACACCCUUCCCUGCCACCCACACCUGUGCACUAUGGGAUGGAACCGACCGCGAUUCGUCGCGGCUGGCGAAGUCCGUCUUUUACACACUCAUCUUAAAUCAAGAAUGUAACUGUCGUUUAUUAACGAAUGAAACAACUUUCAACAACGGAUCUCUUGGCUCUC